rnacentral:rRNA from 1 species
AAGCGGUGGAGUAUGUGGUUUAAUUCGACGCAACGCGCAGAACCUUUACCUGGUCUUGACAUCCCGGGAAUCUUUCUGAAAGGAGAGAGUGCCUCGCAAGAGGAGCCUGGAGACAGGUGCUGCAUGGCUGUCGUCAGCUCGUGUCGUGAGAUGUUGGGUUAAGUCCCGCAACGAGCGCAACCCUUGUCAUUAGUUGCUACAUUCAGUUGGGCACUCUAAUGAGACUGCCGGUGACAAGCCGGAGGAAGGUGGGGAUGACGUCAAGUCCUCAUGGCCCUUAUAGGUGGGGCUACACACGUCAUACAAUGGCUGGUACAAAGGGUUGCCAACCCGCGAGGGGGAGCCAAUCCCAUAAAGCCAGUCGUAGUCCGGAUCGUAGUCUGCAACUCGACUACGUGAAGUCGGAAUCGCUAGUAAUCGUGGAUCAGAAUGUCACGGUGAAUACGUUCCCGGGUCUU